CGAGUAAACCCAUACUUCUUGUCAUCAUCAUUGUUAUUAGCACAGUUCAAGAGAUCAUCGGAGACCAUGGUGAAGGCUAAGGCAAUAGUUAAGUUUGAACGCGCAAGAGAGAUGGUGAGAGCCAGAGGCAUGCGGAUGGCCGCGAGGGAAAUGAAAGAAAGGAGAAGCGUGAACAAUGUGCAAAUGACUAGCAAGGGAAUGUGGCGUGUGGG